rnacentral:tRNA from 1 species
AGCAUGUUGGCUCAGAGGAAGCGCGUCGUAAGUUCCGGUGAAUUCUUCACUAGGAAAACCAUCACUAACAUUACCAAAGGGGCUCAUAACCCGAAGGUCCCUGGAUCGAAACCAGGACAUGCUA